rnacentral:lncRNA from 1 species
AUGAGUGAGUCCAGCUUGUCACUUGGAUGCCAGAUGUACUGUGGGAUGCCAGCCUGGGCAGCCGCCAGCCCGCGCCUUGACUGGACCAGCAAGCAGCACGUAACAAUACCUCUACACACUCCAAGCUGGAGUUAUCCAGAAGAUGUGAAAUCACAGACUAUGGCUAUUUCUCAGGGUAACAAUAAAAUCCUUCUUAUCAAAUCUAACACAAGUCACAAUAAGCCAGACUUGGAAAUGAGUGGUGUUGACUGAGGACAUAAGAAACGUGACUACCUGCAUACGGGAUGACUACCACCUGAACUAGGAUCUGAAAGAUUCUUUCUUCCUUCCAACAGUAAGACACAUUACUCCAUCUCCCUGUGUCUGAUGCUUACAUCCAGUCUGAUGGCACAAUGGCAAUUACUUGAUUUCUUUCUGUGUUAAGAAAUGCAAUUAUGAAUUUUCUCACAUCUUUUAACAAAAUGUUACUAUUUAAUUCCUUACUACUGUCAAUAUAAUGAACAUCACCAUAGAUCAUACUUUUGAUUAGAAUUACAAAGUUUAGAAAACCUAUCAUCAUAAAAUGGAGUUUUACAUUAAUGAAACAUUUACAUUAUCGAAAGAAGAAACUUAUCAAAGUAAGAUUAAGCUUAUUUCUUUCUACAAGUAAACUGAAGAUGAAAUCAAGAUGAUUUCCAGAAUUUUCAUUAACUGAUAAAGAGCUAUACAGAAGAAAUGGAAGCCACUCUUGCCGAGGAAAGGGUGUGAUAACCAGCACAGCUCUUCUACUCCUAAAUUCUUUGAUUAUUAAAAAAAAAAGUGGGGGAGAGUAAUUUUCAUUCACUAUUUCUUGCUAUCUAGUUUAAAAUGCAAUCCAUAGCAAUCUUGCUAGCUCAAGAUUUAAUGAGACCCUUAAACCCUGAAAAUAUCAUGUGAGGGAUGCAGUUGUCUUUUCCGACCUUCUGUGUAGCGACAAAUAUCAUAAUAGAUGGGUUCCUAAUCCUUUAAAAUGAAAAAUCACAUGAUAAAUUACUACUCAGUGGAAACUUAAUCAAAAGUGAUACUAAGCUAAAGAAGAAAAUAAAGACAAAGUGUAUGACCUGAAAAUUCA